GCCAGCACGGUAUAGUGGUUUGAGCACUGGACUACAAAUCUGGAGACCAGGGUUCAAAACCCUGCUCAGCCA
rnacentral:tRNA from 1 species